UACGAAGGGGGCUAGCGUUGUUCGGAAUUACUGGGCGUAAAGCGCACGUAGGCGGAUAUUUAAGUCGGGGGUGAAAUCCCGGGGCUCAACCCCGGAACUGCCUUCGAUACUGGGUAUCUUGAGUUCGGAAGAGGUGAGUGGAAUUGCGAGUGUAGAGGUGAAAUUCGUAGAUAUUCGCAGGAACACCAGUGGCGAAGGCGGCUCACUGGCCCGAUACUGACGCUGAGGCACGAAAGCGUGGGGAGCAAACAGGG
rnacentral:rRNA from 1 species